UACGUAGGGUGCGAGCGUUAUUCGGAAUUACUGGGCGUAAAGCGUGCGCAGGCGGUUUUCCAAGGCAGAUGUGAAAUCCCCGGGCUCAACCUGGGAAUGGCAUUUGUGACUGGAAGGCUAGAGUGUGUUAGAGGGGGGUAGAAUUCCACGUGUAGCAGUGAAAUGCGUAGAGAUGUGGAGGAAUACCGAUGGCGAAGGCAGCCCCCUGGGAUAACACUGACGCUCAUGCACGAAAGCGUGGGGAGCAAACAGG
rnacentral:rRNA from 1 species